GCCUGGGUGGCUCAGUCGGUUGAGCGUCCGACUUCAGCUCAGGUCACGAACUCACGGUCCGUGAGUUCGAGCCCCGCGUCAGGCU
rfam:Felis catus isolate Cinnamon breed Abyssinian chromosome A1, whole genome shotgun sequence.